ACGAGCGUUUUGUUGCCGCAAUUCAUUCGGUGAAUUCAAGCGGAAAGUCUCUUUAAUUGUGAGUUUUUAUAAAACCAUUGACGUGAAUAAUAUUUUGGGCGGCGCUUGUCACAGCAAUAGAAAAUGCUACUUGAGGAUUAGGUGGGGGGCAAAAAUAAUUCGCUAGACUUGAACUUUUCUGGCGAAGGAAAUUGCAUGCAAUUCGUAAAAGGCGCUGAAUUCAGCUUAAAACGUGCACCCAACAACUGGCGCAUCACCGUUUUUGGCUUCAAGAUCUCUGACAUCGUCGCACAGUGCAAUGGGUGUGGGCAAAACCUUAAAUAAUUUUCACACAAAAGAAGGGAAGGAAGGAAGUGGGCCGAAAGCAGCACUCAUUGGCAGAAUUUAUUCUUCACUUGAUCUCUUAGCGUCACAUUA